GCGUUGUCCGGAAUCAUUGGGCGUAAAGAGCGUGUAGGCGGCCCGAUAAGUCCGCUGUGAAAGUCCAGGGCUCAACCCUGGAAUGCCGGUGGAUACUGUCGGGCUCGAGUCCGGAAGAGGUGAGUGGAAUUCCUGGUGUAGCGGCGAAAUGCGCAGAUAUCAGGGGGAACGCCAAGGGCGAAGGCAGCUCACUGGGACGGUACUGACGCUGAGACGCGAAGGCGUG
rnacentral:rRNA from 1 species